GGGAAAGACAGCUCUAGGGGUGGCAGAGAACGCAAAGAUAUCCAGCAAAAUCAAGCAAAUGACCUAAGCACCCACAGAAGCAACAGAAGGGUGAGCAUAACACUGUGGACAGAGGGAGGCGGAUGUUAGGAAAUAUUAUAUCUGGACUGAUAAUUCUUUGGUUAGCCAGUCAAGGUUUUACAUACACUGAUGAUAAACUCCUGGGUUUGCAAAUCAGGUUUGCUUCCUUUUUUCCCAUGACAAGAAUCUGAGGGCAACAACUGUUCCUUUGGAAAAGUCAACACACCGAAGCUGACUGUGUGUGCAUGAGGCGUAACAGAAAUAAUGUGCAACAGUCAAAAGAGUAUCAACACUAAGGAACAGGAAUAUAAUUUUAUUUGUCCAGAAGUCUCUCUAUACAAGAGCUUUCAUACAGUCUAAUAAUCAACUUUGAAGACAACCCAGCUAUGUGCAUAGGUAUUAACAUCAGUCAGGAAGUUUUGGCCUGUGCUCCUGCUGGUAUUUGGUAAAAACAGCCCUCAACUAGGUCUGGAAGCCUGACACAAGUGGUGUUGUGCUUCCCCUCCCACGGCAGACAACCUGCAUGCCUCUACAUCUGAGCGAGUCAUCAAGAUGUGUUCAGAAUAUGCUGAGGGGCUUCUGAAAUGUGUUUUACCUGAUUUUUUUUUGCAACAUCCACACUUGAAUGAUAUUAAUUCUGUCCUAGAGGGAUCUUAUGUCCUAUAAAGGUAGCUGUGUUAUAUACAUGUGGGUAAGUAACUCCCAUGGAAUAAAAUAUUGCAGCAAAGAAGUGUUUUGUGGAGGAAAAAAUGAAAUAAAAGCAGUGUGUAAGUCCUUAUCACAAGCCGUUAUCAGAAUCCAGAGACUAGCAGAGACUCAUAAUGUA